rnacentral:rRNA from 1 species
AAGUAUUGGUCCCACUCCCCACCCGUGUUUAUUUACCUCGUUGCUUCGGCGGGCCCGCCUUAACUGGCCGCCGGGGGGCUCACGCCCCCGGGCCCGCGCCCGCCGAAGACACCCCCGAACUCUGCCUGAAGAUUGUCGUCUGAGUGAAAAUAUAAAUUAUUUAAAACUUUCAACAACGGAUCUCUUGGUUCCGGCAUCGAUGAAGAACGCAGCGAAAUGCGAUACGUAAUGUGAAUUGCAAAUUCAGUGAAUCAUCGAGUCUUUGAACGCACAUUGCGCCCCCUGGUAUUCCGGGGGGCAUGCCUGUCCGAGCGUCAUUGCUGCCCUCAAGCCCGGCUUGUGUGUUGGGCCCCGUCCUCCGAUUCCGGGGGACGGGCCCGAAAGGCAGCGGCGGCACCGCGUCCGGUCCUCGAGCGUAUGGGGCUUUGUCACCCGCUCUGUAGGCCCGGCCGGCGCUUGCCGAUCAACCCAAAUUUUUAUCCAGGUUGACCUCGGAUCAGGUAGGGAUACCCGCUGAACUUAAGCAUAUCAAUAAGCCGGAGGAAGGUUCCGCACCUACC